rnacentral:misc_RNA from 1 species
AUGGUAAUUUGAUUAUGUAACUCAUGUUGAAUUAUUGACCUAAAAAUCUUGAUAAAAUUGUUUUUGAUGACAUCUUUAGAAUGUGGUCAGCAUAGCAGAGAGGUGGUGUCGAGAAGGUGGUUGACACGCCUUCAUUUAUUGGAGAUGAUUGAAAGUGUAUCACGUAGAGCGUUGAGUGGCUCCAGUGGGAGCUACCACGUUCGUGGUGCUGAACUAGCGAGGAAUCGCAGAUUAAAAUCUUUAUCAGCCAUAGUUACCUUUCUUGAUGAUACACAGCAUACAUUUCAAUUAGAUAAACGAGCAAAAGGACAAGUUUUAUUGGACUUGGUGUUUCAACAUUUAGAACUUAUAGAAAAAGAUUAUUUUGGUUUACAAUAUUCUGAAAAUGGAGUUAGUACAACUAUCCCUACAUCUGAUACAAUGAGAUGGUUGGACCCUUCUAAACCAGUGAAAAAGCAGAUAAGAAGUAAGGGUGGACAUUUCUUUUUCGCAGUAAAGUUUUAUGUAUCCGAUCCUAGUAAAUUGCAAGAGGAAUAUACCAGAUAUCAAUUUUAUUUACAAAUAAGACGAGAUAUUCUUCAAGGAAAACUUCAAUUACCAACCAGUACAGCUUGUUUAAUUGCAAGUUAUACAGUCCAAUCGGAAUUAGGAGAUUAUCAUCCAGAAGAACAUGGGCCAGGCUAUCUUUCACACCUACAAUUGAUACCUGGACAAACAGAAGAAAUGGAAAAGAAGAUAUCAGAACUACAUAAGUUACAUAAGGGACAAUUGCCAGCUGAUGCAGAAUUUAACUUCCUAGAUCAUGCAAAACGUUUAGAUAUGUAUGGAGUGGAAUUACAUAAAGCCAGGGAUUCAACAAAUAAGGAAAUACAGUUAGGUGUUACAUCAAUUGGUCUCGUUGUAUUUCAAAAUAGUAUAAAAAUUAAUGUAUUUUCAUGGUCAAAAAUAGUUAAAAUUUCUUUUAAAAGAAAACAGUUUUUCAUACAACUUCGACGAGAACAGUCUGAAAAUUAUGAUACAUUAUUGGGUUUUAACAUGCAAACUUAUCGUAGUUCUAAAAAUCUGUGGAAAGCUUGCGUCGAACAUCAUACUUUCUUUAGGCUUCAUAGUCCAAAAAUGCGUCCAAAGCGAUUUCCUCUCACUUUGAGUAGUAGAUUUACAUAUUCAGGACGUACAGAAUUUCAAACAGUUGAAGAUGGGAAACACAGAGCACGGGUGGAAAGAACAUUUAUACGAUCACCUAGCAAAAAAAUAGCUCAUGCUAUUACGACAGCAGCUGUUAUCGAUGACAAAGGUAAAAUGACAAUACCUCCUGGAAGAUCAUCACGAUCUUAUGACAAUAAGGUUCAAUCUCUCGGUGCUCGUGAACCUCGUCAAGCAUGGGGUGAAGGAAAUCCAAGUGAUGAUGAAGGUGGUUUUUUAUCUUUGAGGGAAGAGAUAACAGGAAGCUAUACACAAGGUGGAGCAUUUUCUCCAGCAUUAGGAUCUAGAGUAUUUAGUUAUGCAGAUGAUGAUACAACUGCUGAAAGAAAUAUUUAUGAUCUGCCAGAUUAUAGUGAACCUACUAGUUCGCCAGCCCCACAAAUAUUAGAAGAUGGUUUAGUAACAAUAUCUCUAACGCCAGACGAACAAGGUCGUUUUGGUUUCAAUGUAAAAGGUGGAUUAGAUUUGGAUAUGCCGAUUUUAGUAUCUCGAGUAGCUCCGAAUACACCCGCUGAUCGUUGUUAUCCAAAAUUAAAUGAGGGAGAUCAAGUUGUUUACAUCAAUGGAAUUGAUGUGAGUGGUUUAUUACAUGAACGUGUAGUGAAUUUAAUACGGCAAUCACGUGAUCGCGGAUCUGGCGAACUUACAUUAACUGUCAGACCGAACGCUCUGUAUAAUGCAUUAGCUGGUACCGAUGAAACUUCCGAAGAAGAACCGCCUUAUAGAUAUGUGCCUGAUGCACCUCAUGCAGUCAUUGGAUCCGAUGCGCUGGCGCAAUCUAUGUUACUGCUUGCGGAUGGUCUAGCAAGCGGUGCUCUUAUCGCGCAGUACGAACAAUUGUACAGGAAAAAUCCAGAACUUACAUCACUCGAAUCGAAAAAACCGGAAAAUCAAUCGAAAAAUCGCUAUCGGGAUAUAUCACCAUAUGACGUUACUCGAGUGAUUCUGAUGGGAUCUUCAAAUGGAGAUUACAUUAAUGCCAAUUAUGUGAAUAUGGAAAUACCAGGUUCAGGCAUUAUUAAUAGGUAUAUCGCUACGCAAGGUCCCCUGUCUUCCACCGUUGCCGACUUUUGGCAAAUGGUUUUAGAAGCCGGUAGCACGCUUGUCGUUAUGCUGACAACUCUAGUUGAACGUGGUCGUGCAAAAUGUCAUCAAUACUGGCCUGCAUAUAACGAGACGCUCACAUUAAGAAAUCUCACACUUACGUCAACUGCAGAAAAUGUCGAAGAUACAUUUAUUUUUAGAGAAUUUAUACUUCGUGAUAUUAAUACCGGAGAAGAAAGAGAUAUAACACAUAUGCAGUAUUGCAGCUGGCCUGAUCAUGGAGUGCCGAGUGAUUGGCGACAAUUUACUACGUUUACAGAGCGCGUUAGAGCAGCUCGUACUGGAAUAGUGGAACCUGCGGUUGUGCAUUGUUCUGCUGGAAUAGGACGAACCGGUGUGUUAGUUUUAAUGGAAACUGCACUGUGUCUAAUUGAAGCUAAUCAACCGGUGUAUCCGUUAGAUAUUGUACGCUCUAUGAGAGAUCAGAGAGCAAUGAUGAUACAGAAUGCUAGUCAAUAUAGAUUUGUGUGUGAAGCAGUCCAUAAAGCCUAUAGUGAAGGAAUAGCUAAGCCACUUCCAGAGUUCAGUAGGUGAAAAUAAGAAUUCGAAACGGACAGCAUAUUGUAAUUAUAGCCAUUUCUUCUCUUGCAUCUUGCAUCAAGCAUCAUGUCAUUAGAAGAAAGCAUCGAAAAGGCAAUGUAUUAUGAUAUAUCGUUGUCGAAUUUGUAAAAAUUAGAUUUAGUUAUAUAACAAAAAUUGUAAGAUACAACACGUAGUUUUAAACGCUUUAAAUAACGAAUUCAGUUAUUUAAAAUAAUUUAAAAAUUAAAUUUUCACAUCUUUCCAUUAAAUGGAAAUAUUGGUGUAUGUGUGUUUCAUUAGUCAACAAGAAUUAUGCUAUUUUAUUAUGGAAAUAUCGGCAUAUUUCUA